GUGAAAUAGUGAAGGUGGUGUUCGUAUUGUGAUAAUCUGUCUCUUUGUCUAUUCGGUGAUGUUAAUUGCUUUCUUUUAUACGUAAUCAUUGAUUUAUUGCUGAGGUAAAUGGGAUCUGCGACUCGACGGUCUGUGGAUAAGAAACCGGACGGCUUCGGGAACCAGCUGCAAAAAAAAACUAGUUUCUCCCAGCGGCCAUUUUGUGAAACUAAAUCGAUUGGUGGCCAAAAAUCAAUUGUCACGCAUAACCUUUCCCUAUUGGCCCACUUUUUACAUUGGGGUGACACAAUGGACUCCGCUUUCCCCUUUUUUGCUCCUGGGACCCUUUUAAAUAUGAAUCCAAUAGGUUCAAACCUCCACAUACUUCUCUGCUGACUAGAAGCUUAGAAUACAACAAAAAGAACAAAAUUUAAACUUUCAAAAUUAUUUAUUUUUUUACAAGGAGCAGUCAUUUCUGAUAUAGAUUUGUCAACUUCAAAGACAAACGAAGCACGUCUUUACGAGUGAACUCAACUAUGUCGCAUAGCUCGCCCGCGCCGUCUCGGUAUCAACGACCGUGGUUGCAGACAAACAAAGUACGAAUGGGUUUAAUUCUCACAAAGUAUAAAUUAGAAUUGAAGAGAUCUCUCAAACAGGGAGAAAAGAAUGACCUUCAGACGGAGUGUUUCAGAAAACUUACCAAGUUUUAAGCACACACACCUACCUACCAAAUGAAAGUUUGACAUAUACCGUUGGAUGUGGAGUCUUACUCCAAACAGUACAAACCAUUCAUUGG